UACGGAGGGGGCUAGCGUUGUUCGGAAUUACUGGGCGUAAAGCGCACGUAGGCGGAUCAGUCAGUUAGAGGUGAAAGCCCAGGGCUCAACCCUGGAACUGCCUUUAAUACUGCUGGUCUGGAGUCCGAGAGAGGUGAGUGGAAUUCCGAGUGUAGAGGUGAAAUUCGUAGAUAUUCGGAAGAACACCAGUGGCGAAGGCGGCUCACUGGCCCGGUACUGACGCUGAGGUGCGAAAGCGUGGGGAGCAAGCAGG
rnacentral:rRNA from 1 species